AACCUUAUGGACCUGCGGGCGUAUACCUGCGGAGGGAUCAUUAAAGAUUGGCCGAGAGGCCUCAUCUCUAUAUCCCCCAACCUCUGUGAACCGUGGACCCUCGGGUCUGUCUUUACAAACAUCUGUGUAACGAACGUGACAAUAACAUUAACAAAACAAAACUUUCAACAACGGAUCU
rnacentral:misc_RNA from 1 species